UACGUAGGGCGCAAGCGUUAAUCGGAAUUACUGGGCGUAAAGCGCGCGUAGGUGGUUUGUUAAGUUGAAUGUGAAAUCCCCGGGCUCAACCUGGGAACUGCAUCCAAAACUGGCAAGCUAGAGUAUGGUAGAGGGUGGUGGAAUUUCCUGUGUAGCGGUGAAAUGCGUAGAUAUAGGAAGGAACACCAGUGGCGAAGGCGACCACCUGGACUGAUACUGACACUGAGGUGCGAAAGCGUGGGGAGCAAACAGG
rnacentral:rRNA from 1 species